GGCAUAUAUUUAAGCUUUUUUUCUUUAGGUUUUGUUGGAUCCAUCGCUUGUAAAAACCAAGAUUCUGGAAAAAGCUGCCAAGGAAGUAUCAAAAGCGAAGCAAAAAGAACAACAUGGAGCCCUUCUCCAUUACUUUUUCGAAACUUGCGCCAGCAAAAUCCCAGCGGUCAGGGACUAUAUUUUGGACCUGCUUGAAGGUGGUCGCAAAUUUCUGGUUUUUGCGCAUCACAAAGACAUGUUGGACGCGAUAUGUUCUUGUCUUACACAGAAGAAAUAUAAGUUCAUUCGUAUUGAUGGCAGCACAGCAGCUGGCGUUAGACAGGGUUUGUGUGAUCAUUUUCAACAAGAUAAAGAUUGCUUGGUAGCCGUGCUGUCCAUCACUGCUGCAAACACAGGUAAAGCUAGCACUGACGGGGUUAACAUCCAUGUAAAAGGACACGUGUCCAGGAUUACACUCAACUUCAAU